GGAUGCGAUCAUACCAGCACUAAAGCACCGUAACCCAUCAGAAUUCCGAAGUUAAGCGUGCUUGGGCGAGAGUAGUACUAGGAUGGGUGACCUCCUGGGAAGUCCUCGUGUUGCAUUCC
rfam:Triticum aestivum genome assembly, contig: Triticum_aestivum_CS42_TGACv1_scaffold_685272_T_1DS-0.088898_1AS-0.080125